CCGAUACGCCGGCGUGACGUCCGGGUUACGGUCGUGCCGCAAGUUAUUAACCGCAACCGUGGUGCUCGUGGUUUUGUUUUCCAAAAAUAACGAACGUUACAAUAAUAAUAAUAUUGUCAUCGAUAAACGUUUGUAGUUGUGUGUUUUUUAAACUUUAUUUUUUUUUUAUCACAAGUUAAAGCACGUUAUAUUUUUUACCAUCAGCAGACGAGCCGGGGCCCGCGUGUGGUGGCCGACGACAUGUUGAAACAAUGAAAGCGAGCGUUGGACAACCUAACCGCGUUUUCGCCAGAUUUUAAUCCACAGGAAAAACAAGAAGACACCGGAGGUAGGGAACCGUAAGCCACCGGCUAUCGGGUUUCGGCAGCCGUCUAGCGUUACCGCGUUCCCAUCGCAUGUUACCAGGAUAUAUUGUUGUACUCGCACGAAAGUUAAGGACAAAUAAUAUGUAUAUAUUUGUAUGGAUGUUUGUAUUAUGAUAUAAAACAAUAAAAUCGUGAAUACAAUCUCUCAAGUUUAUACGAAUUAAAUAGGCGACGGAAACAAAAGGAGAGAACCGUACAAUGAUGCAAGUAGAGGUAUUUUCCCCUCCGCGAUAGAGAAUAUUAUGGAAAACCACGUCCAGGAGUAAACGGAUUUUUGUAUAAAUAAUAAUACAAAAACAUCCACGCGAACAAGACCAACCGCAGUGUUUCCGAAACUCUUCUUCCGGCCAUAUCGCAAAAUAUGCAUCAUACACAUCAGAGAGGAAAACUUUUUAAACAUUUUUUUUUAUAGUUUUUUACACAUAAGUUACCGGAAUCCCCGUGCACAAGUACUGGUUUCGUAUUGGUGGGUGGAAUGGUAAUAUUCAAAAUCGUCUAGCACCAUUUGAAACCAGUACUCAAAGAUACGGGAUGACUUCGUGUUAUUAAGAUUAAGAUUUUCGUUACAACUGUAUACCUAUGUAAUUGUUUUGAUUCUGUGUAAUUUGUUUAGUGUAAACAUUAAAAAAAAAACAAAACCAAACUGUACUUGAUUUAUACAAUUUAUAAGACAUAUAUUAUAGAAUUUAAUUAUGUAGUUUAUUUAUUAUACAAUCGGU